ACGCUCGACACCUACGGGAGGUAGCAGUUAGGAAUAUUGGGCAAUGGAGGAAACUCUGACCCAGCAACGCCGCGUGAAGGAAGAAGGUUUUCGGAUUGUAAACUUCUGAUCUAGGGGAAGAAGGAAGUGACGGUACCCUAGGAGAAAGCCACGGCUAACUACGUACCAGCAGCCGCGGUAAUCUGAGCGGGCUGGCAAGGC
rnacentral:rRNA from 1 species